UGUUUUCCCACCAGCGCUCCGAUCUUACACCCAGAUGUCUUGUUGGGUCUUAAAAUGCGCUGCUGCCAACAGCGAAAAUGCAACAAGCAGUCACCAUGCACAAAAAAAUCUGUGUUUUUCCCAGGUUGCAUUAAGGUCGUGUUCCGUAAGGGACCACUCUGAUAUCUCCUCCAGGAGCCGUUUGAGGAGGCCAGGGUGAUCAAAGAUAACCCAGCUCUUCAGGACAAGUCGGCACCAAAGAAGGAGGAGCUCGUCAGGCAAAGCGCUCUUGCUGUGGUCCAUCAAAGAGGAGUCAAAGCCUCUGACAAAACAGAAGUUCUUGGCGAAUACAUCCUGCAGUUUGGAAAGUACAAGGGGAAAUCUUUCUGGUGGUUUCUUGAAAAUGACAUGGGUUACACCAUCUACCUAAUAAAGGACCUUCAGCAGGAAGAAGCCUUUACGGGGGGUCUUUACGGCAGAAGGACCCAGCAAGAGCAGUCUGUUAUCAUUUUCUAAUUAUGCCCGCAGUUUUAAUGAAAUUCAGUCUCUUUUCAGUUGUGUGUCCAAAAAUCCAGGUGCACCAGCAGCUGGUUGGUUUCGGUGCUCAUGUGAAGAGUAAGUGGCAGGAGAUUUGGAACAGCAGUCAGAUGGUUAUGCAUCCUUUAUAUUGGGGGCAACUUGUGUCCUGGGGAUAUGGAUGUACAAACUGCAGCAAUACCGGCCAAAUCAGAUGCAGUCUGCCCGUCUGCCCGUGUUUGCAGCAUCUAAGCCAACGGAGAUGGAUGAUGACGACGAGUUAGAGAGUGCGAUACUGAACAUCUCCCCCUCCAAGCUACAGUUUUUCUUUCUGUACUGACUGCAUCUCCACAACCACCUGCUCAAACCACACACUUGUCUCCUGAGAGCUUAGAGAAAAUUGUUGAGGGCAUCAUGGAGAGGCAACAACAACAGCAGCAGCAGAAGCAACAGCCAGAGCAGAGAAAGCAGACAAAGACGUGCCUUGCCUGUGGAUAGCCAAAGUCUCGCUAUGAGAAUGAUGGCUCCUCUGUCCACUUUUUUUUUAAUCAGCAAGGCCCUGUCCGAUAUUUCUACUGCUCUACAAAGGUCUUCAAAGCUUACAGUGGUGAAGGACUAACAAACCCCAGAAUGGCAUUCCAAGACUUUAUGGAAACCGAGUUCUUUCAGAGAGAACUUGCAUCCACAAGUUCAGGUGGAGGAGAAAAGACAGCAAAAGCAGAAGAGACCUGAAGCUCACCAUGUUGGUUGCCUGUGUAGGUUUUGUAAGAUGGAACUAAAGCAGGGCCCAAACAGUCCACACCUACAUACAGAAUUCCCUGGAAUUGCUGGGAAAUAUAUUUAAUGUCCUUUAAAGGUCUUUUCCAUUUACCAGCAUCAGGGAAUGGAAAAAGCAAAUGAGUUGAACAUUUUUUACUGUAGGUUUGAAGAAAAAGAUUUUACAUGGGAACAGGAAAUGUGCUGGAAGCUUUAUCAGAACUGGACUCACUCAUUUUCUACCGCUUAUCCAAACAUCUCGGGUCACUGGGAGCCUGUGCCUAUCUCAGGCCUCAUCUGGCAUCAAGGCAGGAUACACCCUGGAUGGAGUGCCAACCCACACUCUCAUUCACUCACACACUACAGAUAAUUUUC